rfam:Xenorhabdus vietnamensis strain DSM 22392 Xvie_1, whole genome shotgun sequence.
UGCUGUUAAGCAGCCAUCAAUGCUUCCAAUAGUCUGAGAGGGAGCGCUUUCGGGCGACUAUAAAAACUCUCGGAGCCUGAAAGGGAGAGCAAAUAUUGCGGUACAUCUGCCCACUUUUGGAAGCAGAUAUCGCCGGACACCUAAACCCUCG